GUUUUACAAAUAAUGCCAAUACUAUAUGAAAUUACUAUUUACAAAUUUCUUUGAUUAAUAAAACUAAUUACUGAGACUAUAAUAAAAUUUAUUUAUUAUUUAAAUAAAUAAAAAUUCAUGCAAAAACUUAAAUAUAAAAUAAAUCAAUAAUAA